CAUGCAAGUCGAACGGCAGCACGGGGGCAACCCUGGUGGCGAGUGGCGAACGGGUGAGUAAUAUAUCGGAACGUGCCCUAGAGUGGGGGAUAACGUAGCGAAAGUUACGCUAAUACCGCAUACGAUCUACGGAUGAAAGUGGGGGAUCGCAAGACCUCAUGCUCCUGGAGCGGCCGAUAUCUGAUUAGCUAGUUGGUAGGGUAAAAGCCUACCAAGGCGACGAUCAGUAGCUGGUUUGAGAGAACGACCAGCCACACUGGGACUGAGACACGGCCCAGACUCCUACGGGAGGCAGCAGUGGGGAAUUUUGGACAAUGGGGGCAACCCUGAUCCAGCAAUGCCGCGUGUGUGAAGAAGGCCUUCGGGUUGUAAAGCACUUUUGUCAGGAACGAAACGGACUGGGUUAAUACCUCGGUCUAAUGACGGUACCUGAAGAAUAAGCACCGGCUAACUACGUGCCAGCAGCCGCGGUAAUACGUAGGGUGCAAGCGUUAAUCGGAAUUACUGGGCGUAAAGCGUGCGCAGGCGGUUGUGUAAGACAGGUGUGAAAUCCCCGGGCUUAACCUGUGAAUUGCAUUUGUGACUGCACGGCUAGAGUUUGGCAGANGGGGGUAGAAUUCCACGUGUAGCAGUGAAAUGCGUAGAUAUGUGGAGGAAUACCGAUGGCGAAGCAGCCCCCUGGGUCAAGACUGACGCUCA
rnacentral:rRNA from 1 species